ensembl:lncRNA
AUGGCUCAAAAAAAGAAUCGUGUCAAUAGCCAGAGAGAAGAAGAGGUCAUUAAAGGAAUAAUGGAAGAGGAGCGAGUAAAUUGGGCCUCCUCAUACAUUCAAGAGCGUCGCGAGCAGUUGCAGAACAUGCUAAGAAGCCUGGACAAAAAUGCUGCAUGGAUGACAGAAAAUGAAAAGAUCGAGAGAGUGUACUUGAAAGAUCAAAUUGAAUCUCGCAUACAAAUGGAUGCUGUGCAGUAUGAGAAAGAAAUGGAGAAAGAAAGACAGAAACAGCAGCAAGAGAAACGGAAAAAGGAGAUUCAUAAGAAAUAUGAAAGAUACAUCAGUGCCAACAAUGAGCUUCCAGACCUUAUAGAAAAGAGAAGGUUGAAAUUAGAGAAGAUGAAGGAAGUAAUGACACUGAAGCAAGAAGUGGCAAAACAGCAAAGAUGGGAGAAAGAAAUGGAACUGCGAGAGACCUUUGACAAGUGGAUGAAGAAAGAGCAGAUGAAAGAGCUAAAGAGAAGGGAGAAGUGGCAGAAGAAGGAAGAUGAAAUCGAGGAGAAGGAAGAGAAAGAGAGACAGCAAAUGACCAUGAAGAAUGCAAAAAAGCAACGGAAGAUGGAAAUGAGAAGAGAGAAAGCUGUGAAGAAAAUGGUUGAAAAGGAGAUCAAAAAGGAGGAUGAAAGACUGAAACUGGAAGAGGAGAGGAGGAAAAAAGAAGAAAGAGAAGAGCAGAAAAAGGAGAAGAAGGAGAAAAAGCAGGAAAUGAAGAAAAGCAUAAAAGAGGCAGAGAAACUAAGACAACUGUGUGAGAAAGAGCGAAAAAAGUACCUGGAAAAGGAAAGAAGAGAAAACAAAACCAAAGAAGAACAGAGAAAAGGAAAACAUCCAGAAGACUUUCAGGAUGAAGAGGAGAGGAAGCUGGAGAGGCUGACGCACAACACUAGGAGAUUUGUUGCCUGGGACAUCACUUGUAAAAAUGCCACCACCCAACAACAGAGCGCCAGUUUGAAAGGCGCUCCCUUCCCAAGGAUGGACCGUUGUAUAGGCCCCGUGUCCCUGGAGGUCAUCCUGGUGGAAGACGUGGAGGACGUCCUCAUGUAG